UCUCAGGGAAGUGAGAACACCUUGCAAAGUAACCAACUGUUUCCGAAGCAAACAUACCAUAUUUGUUCAUACCUGCGGAUUAUGUUAAUGGGUAUUUUCACUAAUAUACCAUAGUGCCGGGCAUUGAAUACAUCACCAAAACGAUUCAUUUUCCUUGCGGUUUGCGGUGCUAAAUCGUCGGAAAAAGUGACAUCGGUGGAUAAUCAUUCUACCAAAACAGUCGUUAAAACUAUACUUAGGAGUUUACAGACAACAAAGCACAACUGAAUAUUGUGUUCAAGAUUGCAACAGCAUAAGAACAAGCUGAUAACAGCACCAUAAAUAUGGAUUCAUAACCUUCACAACAGAUCUGACGCGCAAGUUAUGUGGCAUAGAACAUGUUAGAAGUGAUCUUUCAAAUGUACCAAUCUCUUCCUCUUCAACUUCAUCAAAAGAUGUCAAUGUCCAACAUGGAUGUAGAUGCUUCAGUGCUAGUUCUGUCAUUGCUGAGUCACCUGCGACAGAAAUUGAUUAAGAAAUCAGGGCACACUGUACCCUAUGACAUACAAACUGAUAAAGAGACACCAUUUUGGAACAAUGGUAAGAUAAUCUGAUUCAAAAUUUACCUAUAAUUUUUCAUGUUAUCUAGUAUAAACUAUAUCCCAAAUAUUGUAGUAAAUAAGUGUAAAUUAGUGAUACACCUAAUGUGCUUCCAAGGGUAUGGGUGUUAAUGUAUUGUGCAGCGUGUUACAGUUAUAGCAUAUGUAAUGUGACAUUUGGCUUAUUUUGACAGGAAUAAUGUUUAUACAAUUAGAAAGAAAAUAGGAAAUUCUUCAAGUGCAAAUAAUGCCACAUAUUUCCGUGAAUAGUGAAAUAUCUUGUUAAAAACAAGGGUGUUACAGGAACAAAGAAAUCAACUACUUAAUUCCAUUAAUGCUCUCACUUUAAAUGUGAAAUUGUCUACUAACAAUUUGAAGCUGUAAAACACAUAUUUAAGAUGUCUAUCAACAAAUACAAAUGUAAUCUGUUGUUACUGCUAGAAACAAAUAUGUUAUCGAGUACAAAAUUUUUCACUCUCAGUGUGGAUUUGACGUGUCCUCCUUCAGCUACUGAUCGCUUGCAUUUACUUGGUCCUUGAGCAUAGGAUGCUGGAAAUGGAAGCUUGUGAUUGGCUCAUAGCACAUUGGCUGCUGAGACAAGCCCCGUCUCCUUUUCCCAGAGCAGCCAGCUUAUACUGUAUAAAAGAAACGAACUUCACUGUAUUAAUGCAUCACAGAAGUGACACAAAAGUUAAUAGUCAGUCCCUUUUUUGUAAAUAAUAUUGUUCACCAGAAACAACAACACACACAGAUCAAAACUGUAUUCACAACAGCUUACUGUCAUGUUGGCAAUAUGAGUGUAAACAUGCCUUAAUUGCAUAAAGUCAGCCAGUUCCAGCAAUCUCAGAAUGACCAAGUAAAAGUGCGCUAGCAGUAGUUG